CUCGGUCUGGAUCCCGCUCCACGUUAAAUUCGCCAGGCAAGUCCGCGUGGUAGAGCCCUGGACGUGGUAGCCUUUCCUGCACCUGAAGUACACGGCACUGCCGACCUGGAGAGGAAGGCAGUAUUACACACAAAGUCACCCUGGAUUCUUCUGCGACCCCAUGCUCUGGACAAGGCACCGGCGGACUGGAAUGCCAGGUGGGCUGAAAGCUGCUCCAGCUGCAGAAACUCAGUCCAUGACUCGCACACUCGUUAGCUCAGUGAUUCACCAAAACCACCACAGAACGAUGCAAAGUCACGUGGCGGUCGUCACCAGGACGAGCAGAAACCCCCGAGGUUGGGAGCUUCCGGAGGGCUCCGUGUCCCAAGCAUCCACAAUACCCGUCACUUACCCAGACACUGGGGUAAGGAGCGAUCCCACAGGCCGCUGGCCGUGCAGGUGAGGGCGGAGGAGCCCAGCAGGUAGAAGCCCUU